AUGGGAGGGGGCUUGCCCCCGAUAGCAGAGUGUCAGUCAACAUCAAGGUGACUGGUCCAUCGCUAUCGGGGGCAAGCCCCCUCCCAC
rnacentral:misc_RNA from 1 species